AAACCGCAUGGUUUUGAUUUGAAAGGCGCUUUCGGGUGUCGCUGAUGGAUGGACCCGCGGUGCAUUAGCUAGUUGGUGAGGUAACGGCUCACCAAGGCCACGAUGCAUAGCCGACCUGAGAGGGUGAUCGGCCACAUUGGGACUGAGACACGGCCCAAACUCCUACGGGAGGCAGCAGUAGGGAAUCUUCGGCAAUGGACGAAAGUCUGACCGAGCAACGCCGCGUGAGUGAAGAAGGUUUUCGGAUCGUAAAACUCUGUUGUUAGAGAAGAACAAGGAUGAGAGUAACUGUUCAUCCCUUGACGGUAUCUAACCAGAAAGCCACGGCUAACUACGUGCCAGCAGCCGCGGUAAUACGUAGGUGGCAAGCGUUGUCCGGAUUUAUUGGGCGUAAAGCGAGCGCAGGCGGUUUCUUAAGUCUGAUGUGAAAGCCCCCGGCUCAACCGGGGAGGGUCAUUGGAAACUGGGAGACUUGAGUGCAGAAGAGGAGAGUGGAAUUCCAUGUGUAGCGGUGAAAUGCGUAGAUAUAUGGAGGAACACCAGUGGCGAAGGCGGCUCUCUGGUCUGUAACUGACGCUGAGGCUCGAAAGCGUGGGGAGCAAACAGGAUUAGAUACCCUGGUAGUCCACGCCGUAAACGAUGAGUGCUAAGUGUUGGAGGGUUUCCGCCCUUCAGUGCUGCAGCUAACGCAUUAAGCACUCCGCCUGGGGAGUACGACCGCAAGGUUGAAACUCAAAGGAAUUGACGGGGGCCCGCACAAGCGGUGGAGCAUGUGGUUUAAUUCGAAGCAACGCGAAGAACCUUACCAGGUCUUGACAUCCUUUGACCACUCUAGAGAUAGAGCUUCCCCUUCGGGGGC
rnacentral:rRNA from 1 species